AUGUCUUCCUCCAGCACCGUAGUCUCCUCCACCCUCAAUUACAACACCUCUAAACCGCUUACCCGGACGAACUAUGUUCUCUAGAAAGCUCAAGCUCGAUCCCAAAUACUGGGCGCUGGCCUCUAUGGCUACAUCGAUGGCACCACCGUCGAACCUUCCAAACUCCUCACCACCAAAGAUAAGGAUGGCAAAGAUCAGAUCAUCCCUAACCCUACCCAUAACCCCUGGAUAGUCCAGGAUCAACAGAUCGUUGCGUAUCUCUUGCGCAAUCUAUCCAAGGAAGUCCUCAUCCAAGUCGCCUCGCUCGAGUCCUCUCGUGCUAUCUGGACUGCCUUGGGCACCAUGUUCUCCGCCGUCUCGCUAUCUCGCGCCAACAAUCUUCGCUCUGCACUCACCAACGCCCAGAAGGGCUCCAUGUCCGCCUCCACCUACUUUGGCCAGAUGCGCUACCUCUCCGAUGAGCUCACCGCGGCGGGCAAACCCCUUCGAGAAGAGGAACUCAUCUCUUUCAUCAUCGAUGGGCUUGACAUGGAUUAUCAACCCAUCAUCUUCUCUCGACGUCCGCACCGAGCCCAUCACCGUCAACAGUUUCUUCUCCCUCGUGGCCAACUUCGAUCAGCGCAUGGAGAUGUUCCAUGGCGCUGGCUAUGGCGGCUUCAAGUCCUCCGCCAACAUCGCCUCACGGGGCCAAUCUGGUGGCGGCAAUGGUGGCUACCGCAAAGGCGGGGGUGGUGGUUCUCGCGGCGGCGGCGACGGCUACAACGCUGCUGCUGGUGGAUCCGGCGGUGGCGCUCCUGGUGGCUACAACAUGGUGGGUGGAGGCGGCGGCUACCCUAA
rnacentral:rRNA from 1 species